rnacentral:tRNA from 1 species
AUUUUUUUAGUAUAUUUAGUAUAUUUGGUUUCCACCCAAAAGGUCUAAUUUUAUAAUUAGAAAAAAUA